rnacentral:rRNA from 1 species
AUGACGUCUUUCCAGACCAAUCUGGGCUUCGGGGAGGCAGACAUACUCCGGGCGAUUACCGGUGAGAAUUUCGUCGGCAGCGGCAGGUCGGGAUGCGUGUACCGCGUCGCGUUACCCACGUACAACGGCAAGGACAGCGUCGUUGCCGUGAAAAGAAUAAGGAGGGCUGGGAAGGUGGAAGAGAGGCUGGAGCGCGAGUUCGAGUCGGAGGUCGGCAUCCUCGGCGGCAUCCGGCACAAGAACAUCGUCAGGCUCAUGUGCUGCCUCUCGCACGCCGACUCCGCCGACAAGCUCCUCGUGUACGACUACAUGGACAAUGGCAGCCUCGACGGGUGGCUCCACAGGCGCGCUCUCCCCCACGGCGUCGGGCAUUCCGCGUCGUCCGACGAGGGUUAUUUGGACUGGCCCACGAGGAUCAGAGUCGCCGUGGGCGCCGCGCAGGGGCUCUGCUACAUGCACCACGAGUGCUACCCGCCCAUCAUUCACUGGAACGUCAAGACCAGCAACAUCUUGCUGGACUCCGAGUUCCGAACCAAGGUCGCAGACUUCAGGGUGGCCACGAUGCUGAUGCAGGCCGGCACGCCCGACUGCAUGUCCGCCGUUGCCAGGUCGUUUGGCUACAUAGCUCCAGAGUGCGGUAACACGACGAGUGUGACGGAGAAGGUGGACGUGUACAGCUUCGGCGUGGUGCUCCUGGAGCUCACCACCGGGCGGGCGGCCCACGACCGCGGCGAGGACGGGUCCCUGGCGGAGUGGGCGCGGCACCGGCACGAGUCAGGAGGAAGCAUCGACGGAGCCACAGAUAGUCGCAUCAGAAACGCGGGGUUCUCGGAGGAGAUCGAAUUCGUGUUCAGGCUAGGCGUGAUGUGCACCAGCGCGUCUCCGUCGUCGCGGCCGACCAUGAAGUACGUGCUGCAGAAGCUGCUCAGGUGCUCCGAGCAGACGCACAAGAAGGGCAAGGUGACUCCGCUCUUGCAGACGCUCCGGGAGUACACGAGUGACUUCGACAGCACUGUCUGA